rnacentral:rRNA from 1 species
AAGGCUUCAGUACGACCCUGUCAGAACUAUAAGUCUCAAAGCCCCGACGAGUAGGGUGGCGUGCCGGUGAGCGUUGAAGGCCAAGACGUGAGUCAGGCUGGAGCCGCCGGUAGUGCAGAUCUUGGUGGUAGUAGCAAGUACUCUGGUGAACCAACCUGGAGCUGUGAGGUCUGGAUCAGGGUUCCAUGUCAACAGUGAUUGAACAUGGGUGAGUCGAUCCUAAGCCAAUUGUGAAAGCAGUGACAUCCCGACAAAGGGGCUGUUCGUGUGUUUGGAUCGGCCCACGCGGAGGACGUUUGUGUGCACGAAGCGCCAUUUCGCGAGUAAUCUCUCCGCUCUCUCGACUCGCGCGCGCAUGCGUGUGUGGGUCUCUCUGUUAUUAAGCUCGACUAGCUUUAUACACGGUGGGGGAGAGUGACGAGAAAGAAAGCGGGUUAAAGUGCCCGCGUUCCCCGUGUGUGUUUGAGUCGUGAAAACACACCCCUAAGCUUCCUGCGUCUGGUUCUAUGUCUGGCGAAAGGGAAUGGGGACUUUGUUCCUUGACCGGUCCCGGCCCCCUCGAUAGGCUUUAGCCAUUCAAUGGUCCAUGCAAAUGGAACCCGGCCACAGCCGCCGGCAAUCGCCCGAGGAAGAGUUUUCUUUUUUGCUUAACGCACGAGGUCAUCCCUGGAAACAGUUCGGCUGGCGAAAGGGUGCCCCGUUGCGGCAGAGCGCCACGACUGUCGUGCGCGUCUCGGUGUACCUGCCGGUCCGUGAAGACGUGGUCGAGGGGAUUGCUUCUUGUAUCAACGAAACGCCCGACAAGUUCGGGACGGACCGUACCCUAUAUCCGCAUCUGGUCUCCAAGGUUCGUAGCCUCUGCAGAGUCAGACACAUGUAGGUAAGGGAAGUCGGCAAACUCGAUCCGUAACUUCGGGAAAAGGAUUGGCUCUGAGGGCCGAGCUGGGCCGGGCCUUGCCUGCAAAGCAGUACCUAUAGUGACCGGAGUUUCAGGAGUGCGAGGGGCUCUAGUAGCUGCCUGUGUGUGUGCAUGCGCGUUCACGCGUGUGUGUGUGCGCGUGGGCACGAACGAGUCUACCGCUCCGCUCCAACCACGAACGGCUGUGACGGCAAGGGCUCUGGGCGGGAGCGUUCAAACCGUUUGCCCCCAGCUCGUCUGGGUGGCGGCGGUGCUCCGUCUGACCCAUACGGCUCCAGCGGCUAGCGGCUAACUCAGAACUGUCAUGGACCAAGGGAAUCCGACUGUCUAAUUAAAACAAAGCGUCGUGACGGCCCCUGUUGGGUGUUGACGCGACGUGAUUUC